rnacentral:tRNA from 2 species
CGGCGUGUGGCGCAGCCCGGGUAGCGCACUACUUUGGGGUAGUAGGGGUCGCUGGUUCAAAUCCAGUCACGCCGA